CGAAUUUCCAAUCCGUAUGGGCAUCCUAAUAUUCUUGCAGAAUUUAUAGCUGGCCAAUUAAAAAAUCGCGUUUCUUUUCGAAAAGCAAUGAAAAAAGCUAUUGAAUUAACUGAACAGGCGAAUACAAAAGGAAUUCAAGUACAAAUUGCAGGACGUAUCGACGGAAAAGAAAUUGCACGUGUUGAAUGGAUCAGAGAAGGCAGAGUUCCUUUACAAACAAUUGAAGCUAAAAUUGAUUAUUGUUCCUAUACAGUUCGAACUAUUUAUGGGGUUUUAGGAAUAAAAAUUUGGAUAUUCGUAGACGAAGAAUAAAAAAACUUUAUUUGUCUUUACAUUUUAUCCAAUGAUAAAAAACGAAAACUAUGUAGUAUAACACUAUAAAGAAAUAAAAAUAAAAACUUGUAGUCUUUUUUUUUAUGUUUAAGAAAAAAAAAUGAGCAAUUCUAUAAGGUUGAAUAAACAUUUCCAUCAAAACUCCUUUGAUAUAAUUGCUAUGCUUAGUGUGUGACUCGUUGGUUUAGGGUUAGAUUACGAUAAAAAAAAAAAGAACUUACCAACUAAUAACUACAGCAUUAAUAAAUAACCUAAGCAACUCAUUGCUUCGCAUUAUCUGGAUCCAAAAAAUUAGUCAAGAUAUGAUAGGCUGAUCAUAUCAUUGGAGCAACUGACUAAAAAAAAGAAUAAAGAAAGAUGAUUAUUAAGUUAUGAAAGGUAAUCAAAAAGUAUGCGGAUAAAUGGAAGGAUGAAAGAAAGAGCGAAAAAAUUGAAUAUUAAUGAUAUAUGAUUCCAAUUUGGAAAAUCUAUGAGGUCACUGUAAGAAAAGCAAUGUAAUAAAGCAUCAAUACAGAUUCAUUCAUAAUAAUUAGAUAAAUCUGUUCCGAAAACAAAAAAUUAAGAGCCUUGAGCCAAUAAAAACUGAGAAAAUUGCCUCAAAAAAAAAAAAAGAAAUUCAAAAUUUCAUGUAAAAGCUCCAUUGUAGAAUUCAGGCCUAAUGAUUAAUCAAGAAGCGAUGGGAACGACGGAACCCAUGAAUAUAUAGGAUUCUAGUGAACAAGAAAUCUUAGUAAUUCAUUGGACAGGAUGGCGGAAUAAACCAGAAACUUUAUUAUCUAUUCUGAUUUCUGAUUUUGAUUCUGAGACCUCGGGGGAUAAACAGCAAACUUAAAUAGAUAUUGAAAGAGUAAAUAUUCGCCGGCGAAAAAUUGGUUUUUUUUUCAAAUAAAAACAGUAAUAAAAGAUGAAAAAACAAUGAAAAAAAUAAAAUAAGGAUUUGUUAUAAUAUUCUAACUCUAAUAAAAAUUACAUUUGUAAUGAUGAUAUUACGUUAUUUUUAAAUAAAUCGAAAUAAAAUUGAUCUUUGAUUCUAUUUCAAAAAAGACAUACACAAAUUUAGAAGAGAUAAGAUGAAAUAAAAAAAAAAUACCAUGAUUAAUAGGAUUAAUCAUUAACUACAUCUAUAUCUUAAUUAAUCCUUUUAUUCGCGAGGAGCUGGAUGAGAAGAAACUCUCACGUCCAGUUCUGCAGUAGAGAUGGAAUUUCUCAUUUAGAAAAAACCCAUCAACUAUAACCCAAAAAGAACCAAAUUUCGUAAACAACAUCGAGGAAGACUAAAAGGAAUAUCCUCUCGUGGGGAAUCGUAUUGUUUUGGCAGAUAUGCUCUUCAAACACUUGAACCCGCUUGGAUUACAUCUAGACAAAUAGAAGCAGGGCGACGAGCAAUGACACGAAAUAUACGACGUGGUGGAAAAAUUUGGGUACGUAUAUUUCCAGACAAGCCAGUUACAGUAAGACCCGCGGAAACGCGUAUGGGUUCUGGGAAAGGAUCCCCAGAGUACUGGGUAGCUGUGGUUUAAACCAGGUAAAAUCCUUUAUGAAAUGGGUGGUGUACCAGAAAAUAUAGCCAGAAAAGCUAUUUCAAUCGCGGCAUCAAAAUGCCUAUAAAAACCCAAUUCAUUAUUUCUGAAUAGGAAUAUAGAAUGAAAAAGCUAAAUAACAUUUAAGGAUAAAAAGAUUAUAAGUUUUUUUUUGACAAACAAUAUUUUUUUUACUUCGUCCUUUGCACUAAAAGAAGAGAUACAAAAAUAUGAUUCAACCACAAACCUAUUUGAAUGUAGCAGACAACAGCGGGGCUAGAAAAUUGAUGUGUAUUCGAAUAAUAGGAGCUAGUAAUCGCCGCUAUGCUCAUAUUGGUGACGUUAUUGUUGCUGUAAUCAAGGAAGCAAUCCCAAAUACUACUCUAGAAAGAUCAGAAGUGGUCAGAGCUGUAAUUGUACGUACUUGUAAAGAACUCAAACGUAAGAAUGGGACGAUAAUACGAUAUGACGACAAUGCCGCAGUUGUCAUUGAUCAAGAAGGAAAUCCAAAAGGAACUCGCGUUUUUGGGGCGAUCCCACGGGAAUUGAGACAAUUAAACUUUACUAAAAUAGUUUCAUUAGCUCCUGAAGUAUUAUAAGACCUAAAUAUCGAUAGUUAAUAUAGGAUAGGAUUAAAAAAAUGGUAUUGAAAUCAAAUUAAUUAUAAUUAAUAGAUUGUGUAUCACGCAUAUACCCUUAAUAAUUUUAUAUAUUAAUAAUUGAAUUCAUAUAUUAAUAUAUAAUUCGUCUCUAUUUUUAUAUAAAUAAAAGAAAAAUAACAUGUUGAUUAUAUCAAAAUUAUAGAACAAUUAAGGAAUUUUAACUUAUCAUGGGGAAAGACACUAUUGCUGAUAUAAUAACCUCUAUACGAAAUGCUGACAUGAAUAGAAAAGGAACAGUUCGGAUAGGAUCGACUAACAUCACCGAAAGCAUUGUUAAAAUACUUUUACAAGAGGGUUUUAUCGAAAACGUAAGGAAACAUCGCGAAAACAAUCAAUAUUUUUGAUUUUAACCCUAAGACAUAGACGAAAUAAGAAAGAAUCCUAUAAAACGAUUUUAAAUUUAAAGAGAAUAAGCCGACCGGGUCUACGAAUCUAUUCUAACUCUCAACGAAUUCCACGAAUUUUAGGCGGAAUAGGAAUUGUAAUCCUUUCAACUUCUCAAGGUAUAAUGACAGAUCGAGAAGCUCGACUAAAAAGAAUCGGCGGAGAAAUUUUGUGUUAUAUAUGGUAAUCCUUCUAAUAUCAAAAUUGGAUAUCCGGAACUUAGCAUUUGUGAAAAAAAAGGGGGGGGGUUGUGUAAUACCACCCCUGCUAAAAAAGUUUAGAAUUUUUUACCCCGAAUGAAAUUAAAGAAAAAAAUGAAUUAAUGAAAGUUUUCUUUAUGAAUCACUUCCGAACGGUAUGGUUCGAUUUUGUUUAGAUACUAAAGAUUUUUUUUAUUUUAGGUCAUGCUUCUGAAAGGAUUCGACAUAUUUUUGUAUAGGUAUACCUAUAGGAGAAAAAGGGGUAAAAAUUUUAGUAAGUUCUUAGGUAUUAAGUUAAUCGGGGAACAGCCACUUUCUAGACUCCAUAACAAGGAUUCAAAUAAGUCAGUGGUUUUUUGAAAUUCAACAUUCCUUUCACGAAGAUACAAUUCAAGAUUCAAAAAUAUCAAGAAACCUUUUUUUCGUCCAACAAUAAGUAUAUUAAGAGAAUUAAGGAAUAACAACUAUGAAAAUAAGGGCUUCCGUUCGUAAAAUUUGUGAAAAGUGUCGGCUAAUCCGUAGGAGGGGACGAAUUAUAGUAAUUUGUUCCAACCCGAGGCAUAAACAAAGACAAGGAUAAUCUUACUAAAGGAAAAGGCACUUCCAAGGAGCUAGUAAAAAAAAGGUCCGUUUUGACAUGAAAUGGAUAUAUCCAUAUAUUUCUUGUGAAAUGAAAAAAUAUGGCAAAACCUAUAUUAAGAAUUGGUUCACGUAAAAAUACCCGUAGUGGUUCACGUAAAAAUGUACGUAGAAUACCAAAGGGAGUUAUUCAUGUUCAAGCAAGUUUCAACAAUACCAUUGUGACCGUUACAGAUGUACGGGGUCGGGUGAUUUCUUGGUCCUCCGCGGGUACUUGUGGAUUCAGGGGUACAAGAAGAGGAACACCUUUUGCUGCUCAAACCGCAGCAGGAAAUGCUAUUCGAGCAGUAGUGGAUCAAGGUAUGCAACGAGCUGAAGUAAGGAUAAAAGGCCCUGGACUAGGAAGAGAUGCAGCAUUACGAGCUAUUCGUAGAAGCGGUAUACUUUUAAGUUUCGUACGAGAUGUAACCCCUAUGCCACAUAAUGGUUGUAGACCCCCUAAAAAACGACGUGUAUAGAACUAAAUAAAGGCUGAAAGGGUUUCAAGAGAAAUAAAUGAUUCAAUGAUCUGAUCAAAUAAAAUUACUAUGGUUCGAGAGAAAGUCAAAGUAUCUACUCGGACACUACAGUGGAAGUGUGUUGAAUCAAGAAGAGACAGUAAGCGUCUUUAUUAUGGACGCUUUAUUCUGUCUCCACUUAUGAAAGGUCAAGCCGACACAAUAGGCAUUGCGAUGCGAAGAGCUUUACUUGGCGAAAUAGAAGGAACAUGUAUUACACGUGCAAAAUCUGAGAACAUACCACAUGACUAUUCUAACAUAGUCGGUAUUCAAGAAUCAGUACAUGAAAUUUUAAUGAAUUUGAACGAGAUUGUAUUAAAAAGUAAUCUAUAUGGAACGCGCAACGCGCUUAUUUGUGUCCAAGGUCCCGGAUAUAUAACUGCUCGAGACAUAGUUUUACCGCCCUCUGUGGAAAUCGUUGAUAAUACACAGCAUAUAGCUACCUUAACGGAACCAAUAAAUUUGUGUAUUGGAUUAAAAAUCGAGAGGAAUCGCGGAUAUAGUUUAAAAAUGUCAAAUAACUUUGAAGACCGAAGUUAUCCUAUAGAUGCUGUAUUCAUGCCUGUUCAAAAUGCGAAUCAUAGUAUUCAUUCUUAUGGGAAUGGGAAUGAAAAACAAGAGAUUCUUUUUCUAGAAAUAUGGACAAAUGGAAGUUUAACUCCUAAAGAAGCACUUCAUGAAGCCUCCCGGAAUUUGAUUAAUUUAUUUAUUCCUUUUCUACAUGUAGAAGAAGAAACGUUCUAUUUAGAGAACAAUCAACAUCAAGUUACUUUACCCCUUUUUCCUUUUCAUAAUAGAUUAGUUAACCUAAGAAAAAAAAAAAAGAACUAGCGUUUCAAUAUAUUUUUAUUGACCAAUUAGAAUUGCCUCCCAGAAUCUAUAAUUGUCUCAAAAAGUCCAAUAUACAUACAUUAUUGGAUCUUUUGAAUAACAGUCAAGAAGACCUUAUCAAAAUGGAACAUUUUCACAUAGAAGAUGUAAAAAAGAUAUUAGACAUUUUAGAAAAAAAAUAAAAAAAGCAUUAAAAAAAAUUUGACUAAAAAGUCAAUUUAAAAUUGAAAUGGAUUUUAAACCUUCAACGUAAUUUCGAUUUUCCAGUCAAACCUAUUUUACUUAAUAAAAUUAAUUUAGAUAUGUAUCUAGGGAGAAUUCAUUUUGAAAUGACUACUCCCUAGAUACCCACGCCUUUUAUUUUACAAUUGAAUAAAUUUAAUUAAAAAAGACCUAAAGUUAGAGAUUUAUCAAUUGGUAAUGUUGCUCCAAUACCUAACCACAGGGCCACCACGGUGCCAAUCAAAAAGACGGUUGUCGCGACUGGACGACGAAAUGGAUUUUGGAACUUAUUAACAUUUUCCAAAAAGGGUACGGUUAAUAAUCCCGCCGGUACUGAAGCCAUUAAAAGAACACCCAAUAAUUUGUUAGGCACUGUACGAAGUAUUUGAAAUACAGGAAAGAAAUACCAUUCAGGUAAUAUUUCCAAAGGAGUUGCAAAAGGAUCCGCAGGUUCACCAAUCAUUGAUGGUUCUAAAACCGCUAAGCCUACGUUACAGGCAAUGGUACCAAGAAUGACUACUGGAAAAAUAUAUAAAAGAUCAUUGGGCCAUGCGGGCUCUCCGUAAUAAUUAUGACCCAUACCUUUAGCUAAUUUAGCUCGUAAUACAGGAUCAUUCAAAUCUGGUUUUUUUGUUAUUGGGAUAGGUGAAUUCUUAUGGAUCCAUCCCCCGAGGGAACCGGACAUGAUAAUUUUUCAUCAUCCGGCUCGAGCAAGAAUUAACCAAACUAAAUUAAUACAUACAAAAAAUAUAUAUGUUAUCAACAAGUAUUUAAUAUGUAAAAAAAGAAUUAUCCGAUUCCAAAGUUAUUGCAACUAAAGAUUACCAUAAAUUCCAUUCUUACAGGUAAAUGCUCAACACCCACGUAAGCUUAAAAGUUGAUCAUGAUUAAGUGCUUUCUGGAUCGUCUCAUACCUUAUCAAUUAAUCCUUAAUCUCAAAAAUUAUAUCGAGAUUUUUCAAAUACAAAGGAUUUACUUGUUACUAAUGAAGUCUACCCUCUACUCUUCAUUAGAUCCUGUAUUCACUCCGAUAGUAUCAGAAAUCGAGUCGAUGCAGAGGAAAUGAAUGCAUUUACAUACUAUUAAUUUUUUAUGUUUUUAGCUAUUUUUUACUAAAAAAUAGCUAAAAACAUAAUCCUGAUUAUGUUCCAUCCCUUAAUCUCCUGGAUUUUUGGAUUUUACGGAGCCCACUCAUCCACGACAUCGUCGGGUAUUAUGAUCAUAGAAAAGAUUCUCUUCAAGUGAACCAGCCUAUCCCCUGUAUGGGGCUUACACAGUGGUUGGAACAAAGACACAUUUGGUUGUGAAUUCCAAUGUAGCAGAUAAAGUCAUAUUUCUGCACGGCCCGAUCAAUAGUUCAAGUCACACACUCCCAUAAUCCAUUUUCUCUUCAUAGAAUUCCCUUCAACUUUUUAUGUCAAAAAAAUAAUACAAUAUUGUGGAGUUGAAGGGAAAUAUCCAAAUACAUGUCUUAUUUUUUUAAUAAUCCAUAUUUAUAGCAAUAAAAUACGAUUGUUCCUUCACCAAGUAAUAAGAUAAAUUAGUAAUUAAAAAUAUCUAGAAUCUAUAUUAUUUAUAAGGGACCAGAAAUACCUUGCUUACGUAUCAUUAAGAAAUGCAUUAACAUAAAUACAGCCGUAAGAAGAGGUAAUACAAAAGUGUGUAAACUAUAAAAACGAGUCAAAGUGGAUUGUCCAACACUAGCACUUCCGCGUAAUAAUUCUACAAGAGGCGAUCCUAUUACCGGAAUAGCGUCAGGUACACCUGUUACAAUUUUGACUGCCCAAUAGCCAAUUUGAUCCCAAGGUAAAGAAUAACCUGUUACACCAAAAGAUGCGGUCAAUACACCCAGAACCACACCAGUAACCCAAGUUAAUUCGCGAGGUUUUUUAAAACCACCGGUGAGGUAUACACGAAAUACGUGCAGGAUCAUCAUUAGGACCAUCAUACUUGCCGACCAUCGAUGAACUGAUCGGAUUAACCAACCAAAGUUAGCUUCAGUCAUUAUAUAUUGAACAGAAGCAAAAGCCUCAGUAACAGUUGGACGGUAAUAAAAAGUCAAAAGAAGAAUGUCCCAAUGCAAUUUAUGUGGAAGAUACAAUAAUAGCUAAAAAUAUAAACGCCAACAAAUUUAUAAAUACAUGACUUAUUGACAAAAAAAUUGGUUCAAUUAUAUAUUUUAAGCUUCUGACUUUGACUUAUUGUGAGACAAUGUCUCCUAACGUAUCUUAGACUUGGAUCGUGUCGCUAGAUUUGUAGCUUUCCUCCAUGCUCAUGCACGACCGGUACACUUAUAUCUUACAUCAUUCACGCACAUCUCAUUACAAGAAAGAAACUAUAUUAAUAACAUAUACAAUUGUGGCAAACCGGCACUGAACACGUCACAGUAAAAACACACACAUAUAUUAAAAGACAAUGACAAUACAAUAUCUGGUUAAUGUCUCGACCAGUUCUCAAAAUUUGCGAAAGGAUCAUAUGUAUUCUGAUAAAGCAUACAAAUAUGCAUUGGAUACGUGUCUAUAUAUUCACACAUACAGUAUAAAGAGAGACGAAUAUCUCUAUCCUAAAUGAUUGAUAGGUUUCAAAUUUGGAAAUGGGUAGAGGUGCUAAGUAUAUGAUUAAUAAUUGUAGAUUCAUGCACACAAUAUGAUAAAAUUGAGAUGCUUAUCCAAGGAAAUAUCGUUGUAGUUCCACCGAAACAAACGUUUGUUUAUUCCCUUUUGCUUUGGAUUCUAGUUUAUUUAUUUAUUAAAAUUGGUCUAAACUGAAUCUAAUAUCAUCCACAUUUUUACGAAAAGACGCAAUAAUAACACUUAGGCUUUAUCCGACAUUUUUGGUAGUUAAGGUCUUCAAGGAUUCGUCUGCACAUGUACGUUGAUUGGUAACACACUAGUCUAGGACAACAUAGUUGAAAGGAAAAAUAUGAUUUUCGUUUAGAAUAAUUAGCAUCAUAUAUAAUCUUUACGUUCCAUGACACAUUGAACAUUUUUCGUGUACAGAUAGAUCAAAUGCUGUUUCAUUAACAUAUGAUCAAGAGAGAUUUGAAAAUUGAGAUAUGCCUCAUGAUAAAAUCAUGCAUAAAAGCUGACACAAACAUAGUUCUUUACAUUUAUUAGUACAAAUUUGCGAAUCACAUCGAUAAUGUCUUGACAUUGUAAACUGGUUACAUGUUUUUUGAAACACCUGAGUUCAAAACCAUUCACUAUUACUUUUUAUUUUAUAUUUAUAUAUAUAUAUAUGAUAUUUGAUAAACGACUAGAGUGAUAGAAGGAAGAACAAUGAAAAUACUCUAACCAUGAUUUACCACAUAUAGCCCAAUCCAAGUGAGUCUGCUCGUCCAACACUAACCUUUGGUUUGAUCAAUGUUCUUGCUUAGCUCUUCCAGCUUCUUUAAUCUCAUUUUCUCGCUUUCUCCCUCCAACUACGCCCAAUCAUUAAAAAAAAAAAGAGACACCGUUAAGUCUCUCUGUCUCAAAACCACAACAAAAACACAAUCAAAGUGAACAUAAACAACGCUUUGGAUUCAGCGGCACAGAUUAGUACAACUGCGCAGGUGUUUCAAAGAUAAACAAAAAGGUAUGACUGUUCUUUGGAUAUCUGACUUCCACAAAAAAGGUGUCCAGUACUUGCACAAAAAAAAACAAAAGCAGAGCAUCCAAACAUGGGGAGUUCUUAUACUGAGUCUCUAUACUGAUCUUAGUUUCUAAAAUUGUGAAACCCAUUUAAGAGGCAGGAUCAGACAACUCUAGAAAUGGCCAACACGGAGAUUAGAUUCCAAAACCCGUAACAUUACGGCUUCCCCUAUUGCAAUGAGAGUCGUUCCCAAGUCUUGGAACAAAUCUACGGUGUAAAUGUCUUUUAUCCACAUUUUGUAAGGUUCUCUAAAGGAAGGUAAUGGGAAAUUCAAAUGCUCAAUUCAGAAACAGAGAUCAGUUUUCAAGACUACACACCAACUUGUAAGACUAAACGCAACCAGGUAUAACAUUCAUCCAAACACUAGGAAAAAAAAAAAAGCAAGGGAGAAGUGAGAUGAAAAAGAACUAACCUCCUGUAGCUUGGUGAUCAGCUCCACCUUCUCCUUGUUCUUUUCAUUAAAUGCUUCAAGUGCGUCCUUGUACUCUACUUCCUACACUUCAUGAAAAACACACAGCUUAGCAUAUUCCAAUUAUUGUUCAAAUACAUAAGAUUUUGAUAGUCCACAAGGACCAUUAUAUCUCGAAACCUUAGCUCAGUUCUUAAGUAGCAUCCCACAGAAAAAAAAAAAGCAAUUACCUUUUUCUGAACAGUAUUCCCCAAUGGCUUUAUCUCUUUAUCAAGAGAAUCAAUCUUCUUCCGGAUCAAAGUAACUUCCUUCCUCAUGGGAUCAGCAAAUCCUUCAAGCUCCUGAUGCAAUUAACCACCGAACAUACAUUAUCCACCAGCAAGACGAGCUUCUUCUUUAAGAACUAAGGUUUAAGCUUGAGAUCCAGAGUUCAUCUUUAGAAACUUAAUGAAAAAAUUUCCCCAAAAUUCUCUAACCUAGCAAAAAUUGAAAAACCCUAAAUCCAACUGAAUAUUUGUAGAUAUCAAACCUCGCGGAUCAAAGCGAGACGUUUGGUCUCGUCUUCAACGCGGCCGAGCUGAGCUAGAACUCGUUCUCUGAUCUCCAUCUUCUUCUUCUCGAUCUCGUCUUCUUUGGCCUUGAACGCCGACAAAGCUUUCACCGAGAGCUCCUCGUCUUCCUUCUUCAUUUGGCUGCUGAAGCUCAUACUCUCCGAUAGCUCGUCCUUCAGGCGCCGGCUCUGAUCCGCCGUCGCCGGACGUGUCGCCUCUGUCGGUUGCAUCUUUUCUUCUUCUCUUCGAGAUUUUUUUUUUUUUUGGUUUUUGAGCCGUUUAUCUGAUGCGAUCUACGAUGACCGUUGGAUUCUUUAUUCUGCUAAUAAUGGAAGUAAAAAGGUGUGUGAGUGACCUGGAGGCACUAGCUUUGUCUAAACCGGAACCAAAUUAAAAAUUAAACCAGUAUAUUAUACCGGUUUAAUUUUAUUCAUCUGCAAUUGGAUCUUCUGGUUAUUUUAAAACUUGAUUCGAUCGUAGUGCAAAGAUAUAAGGACGUGAUUUUUCAAGCUUCGAUUUUGUAAUUUUAAGACAAACCAGCUGGGCCGUUCACGGUCCAAUAUUGGUUUAUUCCGGUUAUUACAAACUGGCUUUCUUAGUUAAUCAAGAGCUAUAUCUCCGGUUUAGUGUUUUUAGAUAUUUUCGUUUACAGACUUUACAUUCUCAGUGACAUUUUUGUUCACACUCUUUCCUUCUCUGCUUACGGUUUUGAACCCAAAGUCUCGAGAUCAUCAUCACGGUCUGCUAAAGCGUAAACCACGGCAGUUCUACAUGGUGUGUAGACCAUGAACGAGGAGGGUCGUCCGUCGAAUGAGCCCUCCUGCAUGAGGCGUAAUUGGUCAAGAGAUUGGAACAUUUCGCAGUGAAUAUAAACUUUAAAUUCAAAUGGUCUUUUGAGUAUUCUUACAAAUGUGAAAUACUCUGCCGUGCGGUCGAGCCUACCGAAUCCACCAAACAGAGGAUCGUCCGAGUCCAAUACGAUCUGGUGAACAAUCGUAGAAAGAGAUUAGAUUAUGAAUCUGUUUUCACAAUCAAGCUAGAGCUAGAUGUGUAUAUACCUUGUAUUUGCCUGGCUUGGAGCAACCAAUGCGGUAAUCAAAGUAGCUGCUGGUCCAGUGGAAGUUGAAGACGAAGACCAGAUCACCCCUUUCGAACACGAUUACUCUGUCUCCUUCGUCUUUUCUUGAUAUGAAUUGAUGCUCUGAAGUCAUAAACUGCUUACAUGUAAAAAGUCAGAUUAGCUAAUGGAUACAUCCAGAUUCUAUAGAGAGUUUUUAUUACACUUACACCGUAUUUCUCUUCAAGAUGUUGCAUUGCCCGAUCAAACUCUUGCAGUCCAUGGUAUCUAAGAUAGUCCGCAUCCCCCUAUAUAUAAAAGUCAGAACACAUCCAAAGCAUAUAAGCUUUGAUAUAUAUAUAUAUUGUACUUAUGAGAACUUACAAGAUCAAAUCUGCGCCUGCAUUUGUCAUAACUGAAGUUGUUCCCAGGAAUCACACUCCCAUCAGAAAGACGCUGCUCGCCUCUGGGAAAAUCGAUCCAUUCUGAACAUUUGCAGGAGAAGAUGAAGACAAUGUACUCUCUAAGGUAAAUUAAAUAAGUAGUUUUAAUUGAUGACAUAGUUAAUAGUACCUGGAUGUCCGAACUCGUUCCCCAUAAAAUUUAAGUAGCCUUCACCGCCUAAUCCCAUGGUUAUAAGCCUAAUCAUUUUAUGCAAAGCUAUUCCUCUAUCAACAAGAGGAGUUGAUGGUCUGUCUACUGCCAUGAAAUCAUACAUAUCCUGGAAACAAACAAACUACCGUUCAAGUAACUUCUAAGAAUUGGUUGAAUGAAUAUAGAUAACUAUAAUGGCGCCUAUACCUUGUCCAUUAACCAGAAGGCAAUUGUUUUAUCACCAACAAGAGCUUGAUCGUGACUCUCAGCAUAGGCAAUACACUUCUCUGACCACCUUCGGUUGGUAAGCGUGUAAAUGAUGUCGCCCAUUUUCCAGUCCUCAUCUCGCUUCCUUCACAAGGAGGAGAGCAGGAUUUACUCAGUUCACCAAAGAUGCAAUUAAGAGAAAUUGCGGUAAAGAGAGCAAAAAGAAUCUCACUUGAGAAUUUCUAUCCAUUUAUCAGCUAUGGCCAUGUGUAAACGGUAGUCAAAUCCAACGCCACCAUCUUGGACAGGGAUGCAGAAUGUUGGCAUACCACUAACCUGAAUAAGACAAUCUUAUAAGCAUAGAUCACAAAAUAGCCAGAACGGUGGUUGUGAUCAAGGUAUUCAGAAAACUUACAUCUUCACCAACGGUAACCGCUUCAGGGUAGAGCCCAUGAAUCAUAUCAUUUACCAGCAUCAGAUAAGUCACAGCGUCCACAUCAGUUUCCAACCCAAAGUACUCAGUGUAAUUUCCAGUAAAUCCAACCUAUCCGAAACCCCAGAAAAUAGAAGGCCAAUGAACCAACGUCUGACAAGUGUAAAAGCUGAAAACAAAAGUUAGCCAUCCAUUAUCGAAAAGGUUGAAGUACCGAGAGUCCAUGAUGAGUAUACAUCAUUGAGGUAACACCAUCAAAUCUAAAUCCAUCAAACUUGUAUUCUUCUAGCCACCACCGAGCAUUUGAAAGAAGAUACCGUAGCACCUGAAAAGUGACAGUUAACUUAAAGAUGCUAACAAAAGUCUACUUACAAUACUUUGAUUAAAAUCCGGGAAGAUGUUACAUACUUCCCAGCUCCCAUAAUUGAAAAGACGCGAGUCCCACAUCCAAUGGUAACCCCGAGGUCCAGAGUGGAAGUAGUGAGCAUCAGUUCCAUCAAACAUGUUCAGUCCAUCCAAUGUAUUUUUUGAAGCAUGGCUGCGGAAGAUUAGAGUCUCAUUAUAUUAAAUGACUAGUAAACGACCAAAAGGUGUGUAUCUGCUCGUUUGCUUUCAUGAAAUUUUUUAUUACCUGUGAACGAUAUCCAUCAGAACGAUCAGGCCUAACUCAUGAGCUCUAUCUAUCAGUGAUUUUAGGUCCUCUGGGGUUCCACAACGGCUGCUAGGGGCAAAAAAGUUUGUGACAUGGUACCUGGCAUACAAAGUAGAAACAUGCAUGAUCCUCAGUAAGAAAUAACAAUAAGUAUGAGAUCCCUGUACUACUAGCUGCUUGAAGAUACAGAUAUCAUCAUGGCACAAAGGCGAUAGUUUCUGCAGCAAUAAAUUAAAUGCAAAUAGCUAGGAUUUAAUAGAGCUCACUCAGGUAAGAAAAAUACCCAAAGCUGGCAUAAUAUGAAUGUUCUUGUAUAGCCAUGAUUUGAACAGCAUUGUAGCCAAGCUUUUUGAUACGUGGAAGCACAUCAUCUCUAAAAUUAGCAUAAGUAUUGAUCAUCGGUUCCUGCAUAACAAGUUCACUGUCAUCAUCGCAAUGAAAAGUAUCCUAUUCAUAUAUUCAUACAUUUUGUAAUCCUUAGAAUUCUUUCAACUGGAUUGGAUCUACGUCGUUGUGCUUAAAAGACACACACUGAAGAAAUAAGCAUUCUGAUUGAUACUCGUAAAAGUUUGGGACACCGCUGUUAAAGAUGAAAACCUAAUUAUAUAAGAGAAAGAAGCCGCACGAACCGUGCUACUCAUGCCAACAUGUGACUCAUAAAUCCUCAGCGACUUAGGUCUCUUUGGUUGGGGAUGUUUGAAUACAUACUUCUCCUGUAAAUAAAUUUAUAACUGUUAGUCCAUAAAUUAAAGAUAAAGGGACAGCCAAAACUUUUUGUUGACGUUUAUAAGAACGCCAAUGAGAAACUGUAAGGACACAUUUAAAUGGGGUUUAACAUAUGUCAUUAGUUGUUCAUAACAGCAGGAAGGAUAGAUGGCCGAAUUUGCUAGUUAAACAAUAAAAUUAUGUGUUUUAGGAUCGUCUAAGACUAAUCAAUCCAUGACUGCAUUCAUACUAGCGGCGUGUCUAUAAAUCUGAAUCUUAUAAACUUCAAACUAGCACUGGCUAUAACCUGAUCCACAAGAUAAUUAUCAAAGGACUGCAAAACCCUACCUCUUCUGGAGGAUCAUAGUAUAUGCCAUUGAACGGGAUUUCACCUGGAGCUUGCACCGAGAACUUGAUCCAAGCAGGAAUUGAGUCUUUAAUGCCAGAUGGUGUAUCCAUACGAAUCUGGAGUUUUGUAUCAAAAAUUUAAUCAUUAUUACAUAACAUUGUCAGGAAGUUCCGAAGGCAAUGACUGAUCUCGAUUUAUUCAAAUAUAUACUCGUGACAUGUAGAAUAUUUGUCAAGGCAGUGUGAAUCCAUUCAUACUGGUAUUACUUAUUUUUGCAUUCCUACGCAUGUGUUAAGAAGAACCAAAGCGUUCACCAUCUUCUAUAUCUGGUGCUGGUCUAAGUUUUAAAUAAACGCAUUCACCAGUUUGGCAACUUCUUAUUUACCUUUACACGUGAGCCAUGGGGGAUUGCUGGCGAACCAUCCGUGUUGUUGGGCAAGAAGAUCUCCCAAACACCAAAUUCAUUCUGUAGAAGAUUUGAUGAGAUUAUCAUCGGUCUUAAUUAACUGUACAUCAUAUGACUUUACCAAGCAUAAGAAAUGUACACAAAGUAGUCAAUAGGCCAUACACGAGUCAUGAUAUCUGCAUUAGGAUUCCAGUUGUUGAAAUCUCCAAUUAGUGAUGCAGACUGAAACAGACAAUGAUAGAAAAUUAGUAAAGCGACCAAACUAGUUAUAAAUAACAUGCAUAACACAGAAAUAGAUACAGUCGAGAAGUAAAAGUUGAAAUAGAGAUGUGAAUGAAGAAAACCAACGUAUAAUUUUCUAGCGGAAAACUAAAAGAAACAAACCUUAGCUCCAGGCGCCCACUCUCUAUAAGUUAUACCGGCAUCACUGAAAUCGCAAAUGAACGAUUGAAACAGAAUAUUAAUGGCGAUAAACAUAACCAAAAUAUCUCUAACGGCUUCAAGAAAGGGCCAUGUCUUAAAAACUCGACUUCAAUUUUAAAGUGGAAAUGGGUGAAGCUAAGAAUAAUAGCAUCACUGUAGACUUCUUCUUGCUAAUAUUUUCGCUGCUCAACUUUAAAAUUUGUAGAUGAUGAAGACUUGCCUGACUACUAGUUUGACUACAAUAAUCAGACUCUUUGACUACCAAAAAAAGAUACUAACAGAUGUCAACAACGAUUACUGUAUAAUGUACCAAGCAUUUCAUGAGCCUAGACUUGAACUUUAACUUAAGACCUAUUGAUGGUAACAAACAUUUUACCUGCGCAAGAAUCCUAACUUUUCAUAUCCACGAGAGAAUGCCUCCAGACCACCCUCAUACUUGUCUAUUUCCUCGCGCAAUCUUUUAUACUGUUUAUAGCUGUAGCCAACAACAACAAAAAAACGCAGAAUACUUAAGCGGAACAGCAUCCAACCUUUCUACAAACUUGUACUACGAAACAACUAUUUUACCGGUAGUCAAGAUGGUCUUUGUAACUCCGCAACAUGGGGUCUAUCUCAUAUAUUAUCUGCCCAUUACCAGGUGGAGGAACCGUUCUUGGCUUCACCUCUUUCUCCUUGACGACUUUACUCGAAUUAACAGAAACAGACGCUUGGUCCUCGGUUAUCACUAUCCCAUCCUCUUCCAUUGUUUGACUCUCUAGAUUUAAUAUCUACAAAAGGUUGCAUGUUCAAAAUACUUUACAAUAACAAUUUGCGUCUGCAUAUAGAUGACAAGAUAUCCCCACCUGUGAUUCUUCUGAAACGCUGCUGGGACCUUGUAGAGCAUCGUCAGUCACCAAGGAAGCACCAUCAUCAACAUUAUCAGGUACUAAGACUUUCUUCGAGACGGCUUGCGACUUGGAAUCAAACUUAGCAGAUUGAUUCCCAGCGAAGAUCUUCCCUACAUACAUGGAAAUUAAUCAAGGUAUCUGGAUAAUAAUAAUGAAAAGACUCAACAAUCAGCUCAAAAUGUUUCCGUCUCUACUCAAUUUCAACAUAGAAGCCAUCAUCCUAAAGCUAAUCGAGAGGAUGAGGUUUGAUUAGUAGUCGAUCUCACUCCAGAGAGAGAGAGAGAGAGAGAGGAAUAGAGCUUACGAGAGAGAGGGCGUUUCUUCAGGAAGAAAGAGACGGUGGAGUUGAGAGAUCGCGCAUUGGAAGAAGAGAGGGGAAGAGGGAGGAAGGAUGAGACGAGAACACCUGGAGUCAGAGACACUCCAUGAACCACCACCAUGUCCUCUCUCUCUUGUUUUCCCGGCGAUUCCUAGAGAGAGAGAGCUGUUAGAUCUAGAAGGAGUGAGAAAAAUCUGGGAACGAAAUCGAAAACGAGUGGCGGGUUUGCUCUGUUUUUUUCUUUUUAAUUUGUUUGUAUUUGUAGUUUUGUGAUUUGCGAAUUGCGAAACGGACGAACCAGCGAUUGCUUAAAGAUCAGUGUAAGUGGGGUCCACUCCAUUUUCACAAUUCCCCAUCGUCCAUUUUUUUGACCUUUGUUUCCUUCCUUCGUCCAAUAUUCAAUUUUUUUUAUAUGCAAAACUUCUUCUUCUGUGUAGUGUAGACCACGUGAUAUUUCUGGACACCUCUUUGUUAGCGAGCAGGUGCUGAUGCAUGCACCUUUACUGUCACGAGAUUUCUAUAAAACAAAUUAAAGUCUAAAUGAGCAUCUCAACUGCAGUUCUUUUUUUUGAAGAAAAAUCUCAACUGCAGUUCUUUUAGUGCAUUUCUUAGGAAUACAAAAUAAAAAAGUAAGAGAAAGAUUGAAACAGGUUUUCAUUGAGAUACCUUGAUAUCUUUAUCAGAUAUCCUUUUUUGAUAUUUUUUUUUAAAUCAUGAUUCGUCCCUUUUGUAAAACACGAACAACUUAAAUAUUAAACUGACUUUUAUUAAAAAAUAAUAAUUUUAAGUUGCUGAAAAACCAGGGUUGGGGAUGCUGUUAAUAGAAGUAGGAAAAUUGAUCACUGUUUUGAGAUGUCAUUUGUUUACUUUGUUUCUAGAAGAAAAUGAUUAUUCCAAACGCAUUGUAGUUUAUAUUCUGAAAAGUAUUUAAGAACCAAGUAACAAUACAACAUUGUUUAGCAAAACCAUUACAAAAUAAAAUUAAUAAUCCCCGCAAAGUGAUUACAUAACCUGCGAUAGAAGAGAUGCUUAAGCUGCGGAAAGCUUCUGCAUCUCUCUUUACUGAACAGUCCUUUCUAGAAUAACUCAAACUCAAGAUGUUCCCCAACUGCCUUGCAAUCCAAGUAAUUACUUUUCCCUUCAUGAUUCGGUACUCCAUAGUCAUAAAAAUCCGGAAGCUCAGGCGGUAUCGCACACCGUAUCAACGCCCAGUUCAAUCCUUCGAAGAACGCGUGCCGUUUUAUCUCCGCUGCUCCUUUCUCCGUCCCUAACCGGUUCUCAGGCUCCUUAACCAACAACCCUUUUAUAAGAUCCUUAGCUUGGAAACUCACGUUAGGGUUAUCAGGAAACUUCAAGCUCUGACGCACAACGUUAGCUAUCGUCUCUUCAUUACUAGCUCCUUUGAACGGUGUUUUCCCGUAAAGCAACUCGUAUAGAAAGAUCCCAAACGUCCACCAGUCAACCGCUGCGCCGUGACCUUCUCCUUUGAUGAUCUCGGGGGCGAGAUACUCGUGUGUUCCGACAAAAGAGUUUGAUCUCGCAUCUGUCGGUUCCGCGACCAGCUGAGGUAACGACUUGAACCGCGCGGUUAGGUCGGAUUUUUUGAGUUUUUUCAUCAUUACACGGUGUUGUUUGGCUUUUUUCUUGUUCCCGCGGGAGAGUUUAGGUCGGAAACAAGAUGGCUCGAUGCAGCUAGAUCCAGUGCGGCUACCUGAAGAGAGUCUCAUCAUGGCAUCUCCAUGGAGAGGAGAUGAUGAGUUUAGAAGCGUGGGACUCACGGUACACCUUAAGGAGAGAUCAAAAUCUGUUACCAUAAUGUGUCCAUCGUCACGUACCAAAAUGUUCUCUGGCUUCAAGUCACGAUAUAUAACCCCUAACAUAUGCAAAUACUCCAACGCAAGAAGCACCUCUGCCACGUAGAACCUGUAACAAAAAAAAUUGGGAUUACAUGCACAAAUCAUAAGCUAAAAAAUUGAGACCGAACUAACUGAAUUAACCAAAACUUUACCAACCAAAAUUACCUGAACUUAACCGAAAUUAAACCAAAAUUUAAAUCAAAAUAUAAUCAAAAUCAAAAACUUUGGUUAGUUUUAGUAAAAAAAUUUAAAACCGAACUACUUGGAUACCGAACCAAACUUUUCAAGUUCGCAAGAUUUUCGUCGAACCGAACUAUCCGAACCCGCAUGCCUAGUUUUCAAGCUUUAAAAAAGGUUUGUAAUAGCAUAAUUAACUAAAUUUUUUUUUUAAAAACGUUUAGCAGAUAAACCGUAAGAAACAAUGUACCUAGCCGCUGGUUCGGGAAACCACCUCCCGGGCUGUUUCUGCCUUAGGACAUGCAAGUCACCUCCCGGACAACAUUCCAUAACCAGACAAGACAAGUUAUCUGAAACGAAGUGAGCGUAUAACGUCGGAAGAAACGGGUGAUCAAGCAUUUUGAGAAUAUCUUUCUCGGUUUGCGCCCUAGACAUCUUGUUCCUUCUCUCCAAGAACUCAUUAUCCAUCACCUUUAUAGCGAACAAGCAGUUUGUUCCCGUGAGCUCAGCCAGAUAAACAGUUCCUAUAUCUCCACAACCGAGCUUUUUGAGAAGAUUGAAAUGUCUAAGUCCCAAUGAACCGAGCCCGUGCUGUGCCCUUAUAUGCUGAAUAGCUUCCCAUCUCACGUCCUUAGACAUAUGUGGUCUGUUUCCGAAGCUAGAUCUUGUAAUUAUAUCACUGCUUUGUCCUUGUUCUUGUUCUUCCUCGCUAGUGCUUGAGCUGUUGUAUUUGUUUUCGGUUUCAGAGUUCUCGUUGACAUCUUCAGUGGCUGCUCUGUCUAAGAUGAGUUUGUUCGGAGGACUAUCUGGAUUCAUUACAACAGAUUUCUCACUGAAAGAACCAAUCUCCACACUCUGUUCCGACAUGUAGACAGAAUCCUUCUGUUCAGCUUCUUUGCCGGAUAGAAUAUCUUCCUCAACACGUUUCACUAGGGUUUUACUACCGAAUUCAAACCCUAGUGAGCCCUGAGAGGUCUCUGGAUUCGAUAAUUCCAGAGACCUUCUUAUCUUAUUCUUGUCAAGUUUGGUCUCACUGAUCUCAUGAGAGCUCUCAUAGCUUGAGCUGGAGAAAUCAGAAGCCAUUUCAUCUAAGCAUCCUUCCUUAACACUUGUCUUCGGCUCAAGAACAGACUCUUUCGAAGGCUCGUCUUUAGUUGGAGUGUUCUUCAAAGUGAAAUGGCAUCUAUGGCAGAGAAGCUCCUUUGCAAUGGGAUCAUAGAAGCCAUCUACUUCAUCAUACACAUUUGUAUCCUCUUUCUUCUUCUUCAAGGAAUCUUUACUCCUUAGGGCCGGUUUAGCUCCUCCACCGCCACGUGGAAUGGUUCUGGUUAACUUAGCCACUCUCUUACCAUUAACUAUGGUUGAAGUCGGUGUAUUAGCAUACAACAGCUUCACUUUCCUAACUGACUUCAAUCCAACCACUGUCUUAUUGUUCACUGAUCUUAGUGAACCGAAGCUCCUCUUAGCCAUACUCAACUCCGCGUCAUCAAGAGACCAGUUCUUGUCUUUCUUUAAGACCAUCUCAUCGCAAUACAUAGAGCUUUGGCUCGAAGAAUGUAUCUUAAGAAGACGUAGCUGCUGCGCUAUGCUACUCUCUGUUGAACUUCUUUGAGCCUCGUCUAGUAACUCGACGAGAACAGCUUUUCCUUCUUCACCAGCUCUGCCGCUAGGCUUAGGAGUCGUCCGUUUGCUAGCUGCUGUUUCCGAUGCCUUUGUGACGCAUAAAUCUCUCAAAGACUGUUUUAACGUCGCUGGUGGUUCAAAGACUGUUUUAAUCUCAGCUACUGUCUUGCUUGGUGAUCGAGCAUUACGCUGCAAAGGACCGUUGUUGUUUCUACUGCUACUGGUUGCACCGAGUUGGUAAGAAGGAAUCAUUCCGGAUGUUCGAAUGCUUAUAGACUCGAAGAGUUGGUUGAUAUCAUCUUCUAGUGACCCUCUGUAACCUAGUUUUAGUACCGGUCGCUCCAGGUCCUUGUCGUCAACGAGGCUUGAACCGGAAUGUGGAAUGAUUGGUGAUCUUGUGGAGUAUGUAAAUGAGUUUUGGUGGUCUUCUUUCUCUUCAACGAUUUCACACUUUCCGGCAAAUGAACCCAUAACCUUUAAAGCUCAGUCACAUAGCAUCUUAGUAACCCAUAACCUAAUCCAGUAGAUACAUCUUUUGAUCCCACACUAACCUGAAAGUAUCUUCAUAUAUCAUAUAGGUCAGCUUAAAACAAAAAACAAAAGCUUAAAUAAUCAAACCUCUGUCUAAUGAAAGUUUAACUCUAAAAGAUAUAUAUCACAUAUUCAUAAAAACAGAACAUAACAGAACAGAGAAAAUGAAGAAAAAAAUAUCAUCAUUGUCUUUCAAUAGUAGAUUUGGAUCGAUGACUAAUGAGCAUAACAGACCAAUUCAACCUAUGAAACAGUCACAUAUCUGUGAAAUCUGGUUCCACAAUAUCUCCACAAAGGCAAUUAACAAGUGAGAAUUUUAUAGGAAAUAUGAUUCAUUACCAAUACAACAAGUUCUUAUUAUUUGCAACCUUUUGACAUUUCUAAUGAUUUUCAUGUAUUUAUACGUUUUUAUAUACCCUAGGCAUGUAUUAUUGCAUACAAGUCAGAACAAAUAUAUAGAUGAAGUAGAAGAUGGCUGUCAAAAAAAAAAGAUGAAGUAGAAGAUGAAGAGACUUAAAUGUCAUCAUCUUGAUUCAUUUAUGAAUUAAGAGUAAGACAGUACCUGUGAGGGUAAUUGACAAAACAGAGAGACAAGAAAGCUGUUGUAUAUCGUCUUCUGUGUCUUCUUUCUUUUCUUUUUGCUUGGGGUUUGACAAGGAUUCUGCAACUUUCUCUAUGCAGUUUGAAGAACAAAAGAAGGGACCCAUGUCAUAUGGUUGUGGGUCUCAUGUAACAACGAAAUUUAAUAAAUAUUUUUGAUUAAUUCGAUGGGGUCUCUUGACAUGUUGAUCACUACUGAUUAUUGUCGUGUCAAAUUCGUUGACAUGUGUCUUUCAAAAUUUUAAUGAGUUUAGUAGAUUAUAACCAUGUCUCGUUGCAGGUAAAGUUGAAGAUUUGAGUUUCAGACUGUAGAUCUGUAUUAGAUUUCUAAGAAGUUGAUUAAGUUCCUUUUAUGACAAAAACUAUGAUAAUGAAGCUAAUGUCCAGUUGACAAUAAUGAUGCAGGUCUUUAAUCACUAUAUGUCUAGAAAUAUAAUCUAAUACAAUCACUUCGCUCGAGGUUUUCUCUUGAAUAUUCGAAAGUUGUGAGAUGCAAAAAGGUUGAUACUUUUCUUAAGGCUUAGCUGAUUUUUAAGCAUAUUAUCAUUCUUUAGCAUAUUAUAAUUUUCGUAAAGCUUAAAAUGUUCGGAAAUCCAGGAAGAUUAAAGGAACUGGCCACACUAAAAAAAAUCGCUAUACUUUUUAGUAUUAAUUAGUGUGGUCAUCAUCAUUUGUUUUUUUUUUUGAAAAAAAACAAAAAAAAAGUCAUCAUCAUUUGUUACCUUAACAUUGCUCUUUAUUCCAAUGGUUUAACUAAAUGUUCAUUAAUGCUUUUACACCAUCAAGUCUAUGAUUUAAUUUCUGGAGAAAGCGAUUUAUUAAACAAUUAUGUAGGCUACGGAGGAAAGACAUACAAGAGAUCUUCAACAUGGUGCAAAUAAACUCGGUCAGGCGUGAUCUUCAUAGGACAGGUCAGACGUACGUAGAUAUUUAUAAGGCAUGUAGUAUUAUCAAUUGUCAGAUCGUCUAUAUAAUAUUUUUCAUAAUUGUAAUGUCAUAAUAAAUCAGCCUUAAAAAAAAUAGUUUUCUAAAUAAAGUUUUACAUGAAUACAGACCAAAAUUGUAGUUCCAAUUAACCAAAUGAAAUUAAUAGAUUUAUCCAUACGAAGACAUUCUUACACGGUUAAAUAAUAAAUUUACGGACCAUAUUCUCUCAUAUUCUAUUUCCUGAUUGAAAUAAAACACUUUUGGUCAAAUGUUUGCGUCCUUGCCUGGCCAUUGUGCAUAGCACUAAGCCUGUAACUACUUUACAUAGAUAACAUACAAAUAUAAGUUAUGUAUGCAUUAAAAACAAAUUCUUACAACCAGUUUGUAGUUGACUUUGGGAUGUUAUUUUUUUGGUAUAAUCAAAACAAAACAGCACAUUCUUUUUUGGUAAUAUCAUUGUCUCAUACUUACUUAGAACAAUUUAAAACACUAAAAUUUUUAAACAUACUAUGAUCUAAAUAAUCUAUGUCUAAAGCUAAGCAUAACCGUUAUUCGGUAAACAUAAUCGGUCUCCUCACAAGAUGCCCUUCCGAAUCAAAACCUUGCAACUCUUCAUCUCUCCAGCCAUAACAAAACUCAUAACAUUAUAGCAAGUUGUCAUAAUGUCAUAAUGGAAGUCUGAUUAAAGUCCCGUUACUGUUUGAUUCAAAUGGAUGGAACUUGGUUUAUGUUUUGGUCCCGCAAGACUUUUUGGAUUAUAAGCUCCCAAAAAAAUAAAUACAUGACUUUUGGAAGUGUCCAAAUAAAUGAGAAGAAAAAGAAGUUUUCUCUUCACAGCCACUUUUGUAAAUCAUUAUCAUUACAGUUUUUUUCAU
rnacentral:lncRNA from 1 species